rnacentral:rRNA from 1 species
GCCAGACUCCUACGGGAGGCAGCAGUGAGGAAUAUUGGUCAAUGGGCUUACGCCUGAACCAGCCAAGUCGCGUGAGGGAAGACUGCCCUAUGGGUUGUAAACCUCUUUUGUCAGGGAGCAACGCCGGCUACGUGUAGCCGGACUGAGAGUACCUGAAGAAAAAGCAUCGGCUAACUCCGUGCCAGCAGCCGCGGUAAUACGUAGGUGGCAGGCGUUGUCCGGAUUUACUGGGUGUAAAGGGCGUGCAGCCGGGCUGACAAGUCAGAUGUGAAAUCCCGCGGCUCAACCGCGGAACUGCAUUUGAAACUGUCAGUCUUGAGUACCGGAGAGGUCAUCGGAAUUCCUUGUGUAGCGGUGAAAUGCGUAGAUAUAAGGAAGAACACCAGUGGCGAAGGCGGAUGACUGGACGGCAACUGACGGUGAGGCGCGAAAGCGUGGGGAGCAAACAGGAUUAGAUACCCCAGUAA